AUGGCGGUGGCGGCUUCGAUCUAUGAUCUGCCUCGAUGCGGGUCUCCUCCAGUGAGUGCCUAUGCGGCGACGGCUACGGCGACAACGAGUGAAGGAGAUGAAGUGGAGGCAACUCGAGGGCCUCCUAGGGGGCCUGGUCCAGUUCUCCCCCGCCGCCUCCUCUGCUCGAUUUGGCCUCCAAAAAAAGGCGAUGCUCUGAUUCAGCCGUAUACUCAUUUCAUCUCUGAUUUUGAGAGCAAGAUCAAUCUUCUUAAAUUUUCUCACUUCGCAGUAGUAGUUUCACUCCAGUAUUCAGAUAAAGAUGCUGGUAUAAGCUAUCUCGAAGGCGUAAUUUCAAAACUGCGUGAUACCAAGGAAUCACGGGUUGAAGAGCCCAUUCUGUAUUUGAAGAUGCAGAUUGCAAGUUUUCUUCUUGAGAAAGGGAAUCAAAAGGAGUGUAAGAAACUGGUAGACGAGGGUAAAACCACUUUGGAUAGCAUGGGCGAUGUUGAUCCUUCAGUACUUUCGACCUAUUAUUAG
rnacentral:rRNA from 1 species